UUAAUAGUAAAAUCUGCUCAAUGAAAAAUUAAAUAGCCGCAAUUUGUGCUAAGGUAGCAUAAUCAUUUGUCUUUUAAAUAAAGACUAGAACAAAAGAUUUAACAUUUAAAACUAUAUAUAAUUUUAAAAAAUUAAAAUUUCAUUUAAUGUAAAAAUGCUUUAAUUUAAAAGAAAGACGACAAGACCCUAUUGAAUUUAACUUUAGUUAAACUGGGGUAGUAAGUUAAUUAUCACUUUAAUUUUUAAAAAAACAAAAACAUCCAACAUAUUGAUAUAAUAAAUUACCAUAGGGAUAACAGCGCAAUUAUAUUUCAAAGUCCUUAUUAAAAAUAUAGAUUACGACCUCGAUGUUGAAUUAAUAACCUAAAUUAAGCAAAUUUAAAAAAAGGAAGUCUGUUCGACUUUUAAAAAAUUACAUGAUUUGAGUUCAGACCGGUGUAAGCCAGGUCGGUUUCCAUCUUCUUUAAAAAUUUUUACAGUACGAAAGGACCUAAUAAUUUAAUUUUAUUAAUAAAUUGGCAGAUAAAUGCAUUAGAAUUAGAAUCUAAAUAAUCUAAA
rnacentral:rRNA from 1 species